UGAAUCGUAGUACUGAGCCAGGCUGUGGAUUCAGGUAGCAUCUCCCCAAGGCUGUGUGUGGUUGCCUGUCCGACGCAGAAUCAGGCUGCUGCGCUCCGAAGUCUAGGCCCCUGCUGCCAUUUCAGCUGUGUUUGGAGUUGAGCAGGCUCCUCUUGCACUGUGAAUUCUACCAUGAACAGCAAGCAGCUGUGGCAAGGACUUGCUGCACCAAGGACUAUACUUGCAUCACAAACAAAGAGGAAGAGGGAAGCUUAAGAAACACCAUCAACUCUGAGUUAAAGGGGAUUCCAAAAGUGAUACAGUGCUGUGGAUAAUGCACACUGAAUAAAGUACCCCAAAUGUAAUCUUGCA
rnacentral:lncRNA from 1 species